ACGAAACAUAUUACUGCCUUCUAUUCACUGUGCCAUCUGAUACACCGUAGAUGAACAGAGGGGAAAAGAACGGCUAGAUGAAAAUUUUAUCCGCGAGCGUCCUCAUACUGACUAAAGUAACAAACUAUUUACAAAAUGGCUUUAUUUGGUAACUGCGUGAGCGGGACAUUC
rnacentral:snoRNA from 1 species